AGGACGAACGCUGGCGGCGUGCUUAACACAUGCAAGUCGAGCGGAAAGGCCCUUCGGGGUACUCGAGCGGCGAACGGGUGAGUAACACGUGAGCAACCUGCCCUUAGCUCCGGGAUAGCUCCGGGAAACCGGAAUUAAUACCGGAUAUGACCUAGGCCGACAUCGGCUGUGGUGGAAAGUUUUUCGGCUGGGGAUGGACUCGCGGCCUAUCAGCUUGUUGGUGGGGUAAUGGCCUACCAAGGCGACGACGGGUAGCCGGCCUGAGAGGGCGACCGGCCACACUGGGACUGAGACACGGCCCAGACUCCUACGGGAGGCAGCAGUGGGGAAUCUUGCGCAAUGGGCGAAAGCCUGACGCAGCGACGCCGCGUGGGGGAUGAAGGCCUUCGGGUUGUAAACCCCUUUCAGCAGGGACGAAGCGAAAGUGACGGUACUGCAGAAGAAGCGCGGCUAACUACGUGCCAGCAGCCGC
rnacentral:rRNA from 1 species